UUGAGUGAGUUAAACAGGUAAAUACGACAAAUUAAUUAUAAAAAAUUAAUAUUAAUAAAAAUUUAAUAAAGUGCUCCUUGCAAUUACUAAAUGUUAAAAACUAUUUAUUAAUUUUACUUAUAAAACUAUUCAAAGAAAAUUAUAUUUAUUAACAUUCAAAUGAGGAAAAUUAUGACUAAAAAUCACAUGUUUGUUUAUGCUUUUAUCAUCUUUCUUUCUCUAUUUCUUGUUCUAAUCAACGGUGCAAUUACAUGUGUUAAUGAUGAUGAUUGUCCAAAGGCCCCAGAGCUUCUCCCUGAAUAUUAUAAAUGCAUUAAUAAAAUUUGUGUGCUCAUUAGAUAAUGUAACAGAACUCACAUGAUGACUGCUAAUAAUUAAUGUUUCUUUUGUCACCGUUUAAAACUUGUAAUAGUUUCUUUCGAGAAUUACCAUAUUUGUUAGUUAAGAUUCUCAACAAUUAUUAAAAGAAGUGAAGAGUAACAUUCCUAUAUUCUGUGAUAAUACCUCUGUUAUUUAUUUAUCUAAAAAUCCUAUUUUACAUUCUAAAGCUAAACAUAUAGAGAUUAAACAUCACUUUAUUAGGGACUAUGUUCAGAAGGGUAUUCUUUCUUUAAACUUUGUUGAUACAGACCAUCAAUGGGCUGAUAUCUUUACAAAACCCCUUGCUGAAGAUAGGUUUAAAUUCAUUCUGAAGAACAUCAGUAUGGAUCUAUGCCCAGAAUGAAGUUUUGAGAUGAUCUGAUAUGUGGAUUAGUGUGAAGUUUUUUGCUUUAUUUAUUUUCUUAUUUUACCUGUCAGAUGUUUUAAUUAUGUAUGUUCAUAUGGAUACUCUAAAACUGUUAUUACUAACGUUUCAUGUGCCUAAGUAUGACUCAGAACUUCUGUUAAAGUAAAAUAGCUGUCACCAGCUAUUCCAGAUGAUGACCACGUGUUCAUCAGAAGGGACAAGCAUGCGUGCAGUUGAUGAGACGACGCCCUAAGUAACAGUGUAAAUCUUUUCAAAUCUCACGCUAUCUCCACUAACGUCUUUCAGCAUUUAUGAUAAUUGAUUCAGACUCUGUAAUCGUCUCAUUCAUAACUCCAUUGCAUUUUCAUUUCAAAUC